AAAGGACCGGCGUCCAAAUAAUGCCUCGCGCUAUUCCCUGUACGUCAAGCUGUGACCCGCAAGGGUAGCCUCGGAGCCUUUGCUCCUGCAGGAGUACGUGCACGGAAACUGUGGGGGU
rnacentral:ncRNA from 1 species